ACCUUAAAAUUAGCCUAAAUACCAUUUUUAAAACUUUAACAAUAUUUAAAUUAUAUUAAAUUAAACUUUAACCUUUAACUAAAACAUUCUUAUCUUCUCAGUAUAGGCGAUAGAACCAAAAAUUAGAGCUACAGAAAAAGUACCGCAAGGGAAAACUGAAAGAGAAAUGAAAUAAAUCUUAAAGUAAUAAAAAGCAGAGAUUAAACCUGGUACCUUUCGCAUCAUGGUUUAGCCAGAAAUAAUAGGCAAAAAGACUUUUAGUUCAUCUUCCCGAAACUAUACGAGCUACUUCGGAGCAGCCAGUGCAAACCCUUCUCUGUUGCAAAAGAGUGGGAAGAUUCCCAAAUAGUAGAGGCGACAAACCUACCGAGCCUUUUAGUGAUAGCUGGUUACCCAAAGAAAGAACUUUAAUUCUGCAUUAAUUAUUCAAUUACGUAUCAUAUAAGAAUCUUAAAAGACCUAAUGGAAUAAUUAAUAGUUAUUCAAAAGAGGUACAGCUCUUUUGAACAAAGAAACAACUUUAUAAGGAGGAUAAAGAUCAUACUUAAUAAAAUUUAAAUUAACUCAGUGGGCCUAAAAGCCGCCACCUGUGAAGCAAGUGUCACAGCACAAAUUAUCAACAAAAUAAUAAUACUGAUAAUAAAUCCCAAUCCCCUCAAUAUUGGGUUAUUUUAUCAUUUGAUAAAAGAACUUAUGCUAAAAUGAGUAAUAAGAGGUUAAACCUCUCCUUUACACUAGUGUAUAAAACCAGACAGAAUUAAAUCACUGGUAAUUAACCGCCGCCAACCAGAGGCAAUAAUAAUAUUAAUAAAUAACUAGAAAUACAUAUAUAAAAUAAGCGUUAACCCUACACAGGUGUGUUAUAUAGGAAAGAUUUAAAGAAAAUAAAGGAACUCGGCAAACACCUAACUCCGCCUGUUUACCAAAAACAUCGCCUCUUGUAUAACACAAAUAUAAGAAGUCCCGCCUGCCCUGUGAAACAUUUAACGGCCGCGGUAUCCUGACCGUGCAAAGGUAGCGUAAUCACUUGUCUUUUAAUUGAAGACCCGUAUGAAAGGCAUAACGAGAGUUUAUCUGUCUCUAUUUUCCAAUCAAUGAAAUUAAUCUCCUCGUGCAGAAUCGAGGAUAAUGUGAAUAUAAGACGAGAAGACCCUAUGGAGCUUAAAAUACUUAAUUUAAUAAGUACCAACCCACAAACAUCCAUGGACUUAAAUAUAAAUAACUUAACAUAAUUUAACAUUUUCGGUUGGGGCGACCAAGGGGUACAAGAAAACCCCCUUAUCGAUUAAGUAUUCAAAUACUUUAAAAAUAGAAUUACCAUUCUAACUUACAGAAUAUCUGACGACACAUGACCCAAGACCUAUCCUCUUGAUCAAUGAACCAAGUUACCCUAGGGAUAACAGCGCAAUCCUUUCUAAGAGUCCCUAUCGGCGAAAAGGUUUACGACCUCGAUGUUGAAUCAGGACAUCCUAAUGGUGCAACCGCUAUUAAGGGUUCGUUUGUUCAACGAUUAAGAGUCCUACGUGAUCUGAGUUCAGACCGGAGUAAUCCAGGUCAGUUUCUAUCUAUAGUAAUAUUUCCCCUAGUACGAAAGGACCGAGAAAAUGAAGCCAAUGCUCACAAGCACGCUUCGCUUCCACCUAUUGAAACUCAAAUAAGGAUUAUACAUUAAUCAAAUAAUGAUUA
rnacentral:rRNA from 1 species